rnacentral:rRNA from 1 species
GAGUUUGAUCCUGGCUCAGAUUGAACGCUGGCGGCAUGCCUUACACAUGCAAGUCGAACGGCAGCGCGGGAGCAAUCCUGGCGGCGAGUGGCGAACGGGUGAGUAAUACAUCGGAACGUGCCCAAUCGUGGGGGAUAACGCAGCGAAAGCUGUGCUAAUACCGCAUACGAUCUACGGAUGAAAGCAGGGGAUCGCAAGACCUUGCGCGAAUGGAGCGGCCGAUGGCAGAUUAGGUAGUUGGUGAGGUAAAGGCUCACCAAGCCUUCGAUCUGUAGCUGGUCUGAGAGGACGACCAGCCACACUGGGACUGAGACACGGCCCAGACUCCUACGGGAGGCAGCAGUGGGGAAUUUUGGACAAUGGGCGAAAGCCUGAUCCAGCCAUGCCGCGUGCAGGAUGAAGGCCUUCGGGUUGUAAACUGCUUUUGUACGGAACGAAACGGCCUUUUCUAAUAAAGAGGGCUAAUGACGGUACCGUAAGAAUAA